rnacentral:lncRNA from 1 species
GAAUGUUCUACUCUAUGAUGUAAGAUAAGCACAGCCUUCGCAGAAGAAGAUCACUGCUACUUCGACAUCAUUGCCUGUUUAGCCUGUUUACGGGAGAAGCGAAUGUGCAGGUCUUCACAGAAACCAAACGAUAAAGGUGUUGCUGUUUGUUUGCCUUGCUGUUGUUUGCCUUGCCUUCCUUCUGAUGCAAACAUUAGAAAAAGAAUUCGUUUAAAACAAGGCACAAUUCGACGAGGGAUUUUAAAAAGAUUGAAGCUAAAAGACGAUGCUAUGCUGACUAUAUUAGAUCCGACAGUAAUGUCGCAACACAAGUUGUGAAGUCCAAAAGAUGUGCAAGCUGCUCUUUUUUCAUACAAUGAAAGUGGAUGGGGACCAAGAAUGGGCACUUUUGUGUUCCACAGAAGAAAGGCUUAUGGGUAUAGAACCACAUGAGGAGAUGAUGAUGGAUUUUUUUAUUUUUUGGAAGAACUACCUUUUAUUGUUUAAAUGUUUGAGCAGUGUAUCAUCUUUGACAGCAGCUCAAUAGCACGAGUUUUGUACAGAAAUUCACUGACCUUGAAGCAUGACCUUAAAAUGUCAUCCUAUGUGAGUGAAUAAUAAACUCAAUAUCCUGAGAUCUAAUGCAUCAAAGAUGUCUGAGGUACUGAAUUUUCAAAUUUUAUUACCAUGAACAAAGCAAAACAAAAUACAGGCUUGAGGGUUUUGUAGCCUACAAAAAAAAAAAAAAAUUUUUUUUUUUGGAAGUCAAAGUUCCAAUACUUAGUCAUUCAGGAACAAUUUUAGGUCUACAUUUGUGAAGGCAUUCUCUGUAUAUGUCUGUGACGUGAUGAUCAUGUGAGAAAGUCCCUUUCCUGCAGUC